UCCCACCUCAAGCUUGAUACUCUAGUAUGCCACAUGUUGCCACCACUCCUGCCUACUCUGCCUGAGUUUGCUGUUGGUCAUACUCCAUGCCAUCCAGUCCAGCCGUGUCCGUUUGCAGCAUGUUAACGAUCUCCGCCAGGAUGAUUGCCUGUCACCGCACAUGGUGGUGGUGCGGCGACGCCCCCGAGGAUGUGAGAAAUGAGACCUGAUUGAAGACACUUUUGCUGCAACAAGACUUGAAGAAAGAAAACAUGUUUCCUCCUGAGUUGCAGAGCUGAAGGAGACUGGUGCUUUUUAUUUACUUGUCAGUCAACCGGAGUGGUGUUGUUGUUUUUUUCUUCACUAUGAAGCAGAAAUAACUUUAGAGGACUGAACCAGUGGAAAAUAUUCUAUAUUCUGACCAGUUCAUGAUUCCUUCCUUUUGGCGUCGACACAUUUAUUAUAUCUGGGUGGUUUUAAAACGAAAAGCAGCUCUCAGACAGCAAGCACUGACUCACAAUGCACAAAUGUUAAUCGUGCACUGAACAUUUGAAGACACAUAACACUCAGAAUAGUCAUCGCCCAUAUGUGCUGUUGUGUGCACCAAUAAUUGGAGAUAAUCUUAAGGCAUUUCUGCUUCAUGGGGACGACAAAGAAGCAAUGGAAGGGGUGUCAUGCUGCAAAUGUCAUCAGUUUGAUACAAAGUUUUGUACACGUGCCUGUACUGUGUGUGUGUGUGUGUGUCUGUGUGUGUGUGUGUACUGCCUUACUGAGCUUCCACACAGGUUUUUUUUUAGGUUUCUCAUAGUGCAUGACAGUCAGUGAAUGUUCACUUCAACCUCACAGCUUAACGGAAUAAAAUAUAAUCAAAAUGGCAUGAAUAUUAAAAAAAAGAAUUGUAUAAAAGAUCAAAGUUAUCAUUCAUUUGUUACACCGUGUCUUUAAUAGGGGAUGAAAUGUACAAAAGUAUUGCAUGGCUGGUGUUUAUAGUGCUCAUCUUAUACUGGGAAUAGAUGGGAGGACAACGGGGAAAGUUGUGCAAAAUA